AGAGUUUGAUCCUGGCUCAGGACGAACGCUGGCGGCGCGCCUAACACAUGCAAGUCGAACGAGCGAGAGAGAGCUUGCUUUCUCGAGCGAGUGGCGAACGGGUGAGUAACGCGUGAGGAACCUGCCUCAAAGAGGGGGACAACAGUUGGAAACGACUGCUAAUACCGCAUAAGCCCACAGGUCGGCAUCGACCAGAGGGAAAAGGAGCAAUCCGCUUUGAGAUGGCCUCGCGUCCGAUUAGCUAGUUGGUGAGGUAACGGCCCACCAAGGCGACGAUCGGUAGCCGGACUGAGAGGUUGAACGGCCACAUUGGGACUGAGACACGGCCCAGACUCCUACGGGAGGCAGCAGUGGGGAAUAUUGCACAAUGGGGGAAACCCUGAUGCAGCGACGCCGCGUGGAGGAAGAAGGUCUUCGGAUUGUAAACUCCUGUUGUUGAGGAAGAUAAUGACGGUACUCAACAAGGAAGUGACGGCUAACUACGUGCCAGCAGCCGCGGUAAAACGUAGGUCACAAGCGUUGUCCGGAAUUACUGGGUGUAAAGGGAGCGCAGGCGGGAAGACAAGUUGGAAGUGAAAUCUAUGGGCUCAACCCAUAAACUGCUUUCAAAACUGUUUNUCUUGAGUAGUGCANAGGUAGGCGGAAUUCCCGGUGUAGCGGUGGAAUGCGUAGAUAUCGGGAGGACACCAGUGGCGAAGGCGGCCUACUGGGCACCAACUGACGCUGAGGCUCGAAAGUGUGGGUAGCAAACAGGAUUAGAUACCCUGGUAGUCCACACCGUAAACGAUGAUUACUAGGUGUUGGAGGAUUGACCCCUUCAGUGCCGCAGUUAACACAAUAAGUAAUCCACCUGGGGAGUACGACCGCAAGGUUGAAACUCAAAGGAAUUGACGGGGGCCCGCACAAGCAGUGGAGUAUGUGGUUUAAUUCGACGCAACGCGAAGAACCUUACCAAGUCUUGACAUCCUGCGACGCACAUAGAAAUAUGUGUUUCCUUCGGGACGCAGAGACAGGUGGUGCAUGGUUGUCGUCAGCUCGUGUCGUGAGAUGUUGGGUUAAGUCCCGCAACGAGCGCAACCCUUACUGUCAGUUACUACGCAAGAGGACUCUGGCAGGACUGCCGUUGACAAAACGGAGGAAGGUGGGGAUGACGUCAAAUCAUCAUGCCCUUUAUGACUUGGGCUACACACGUACUACAAUGGCGUUAAACAAAGAGAAGCAAGACCGCGAGGUGGAGCAAAACUCAGAAACAACGUCCCAGUUCGGGCUGCAGGCUGCAACUCGCCUGCACGAAGUCGGAAUUGCUAGUAAUCGUGGAUCAGCAUGCCACGGUGAAUACGUUCCCGGGCCAUUGUACACACCGCCCGUC
rnacentral:rRNA from 1 species